GGCCAGACUCCUACGGGAGGCAGCAGUGGGGAAUAUUGCACAAUGGGGGAAACCCUGAUGCAGCGACGCCGCGUGAGUGAAGAAGUAUUUCGGUAUGUAAAGCUCUAUCAGCAGGGAAGAAAAUGACGGUACCUGACUAAGAAGCCCCGGCUAACUACGUGCCAGCAGCCGCGGUAAUACGUAGGGGGCAAGCGUUAUCCGGAUUUACUGGGUGUAAAGGGAGCGUAGACGGCGAAGAAAGUCUGAAGUGAAAGCCCGCGGCUCAACCGCGGAAUGGCUUUGGAAACUUUUUUGCUGGAGUGCCGGAGAGGGAAGCGGAAUUCCUAGUGAAGCGGUGAAAUGCGUAGAUAUUAGGAGGAACACCAGUGGCGAAGGCGGCCUGCUGGACGAUGACUGACGUUGAGGCUCGAAAGCGUAGGGAGCAAACAGGAUUAGAUACCCCUGUACUA
rnacentral:rRNA from 1 species